AUUGAACGCUGGCGGCAGGCCUAAUACAUGCAAGUCGAGCGAGCGUCGGACGGGUGAGUACUGUAUGGGGACUGCCCGUUAGAGGGGGAUAACUACUGGAAACGGUAGCUAAAAACGCAUACUAUCGGAUAACCCAUAUGGGAUUAGCUAGUAGGUUAGGUAAUGGCUCAACUAGGCGACGAUCCCUAGCUGUGCUGCGAGGAUGAUCAGCCACACUGGGACUGAGACACGGCCCAGACUCCGACGGAGGCAGCAGUGGGGAAUAUUGCACAAUGGGCGCAAGCCUGAUGCAGCCAUGCCGCGUGUGUGAAGAAGGCUCUAGGGUUGUAAAGUACUUUCGGUCGGGAAGCGUUACCGACAGAGAAAGCACCGGCUAACUCCGUGCCAGCCGCCGCGGUAAUAC
rnacentral:rRNA from 1 species